CAGGGAUUGCCCCAGUAACGGCGAGUGAAGCGGCAAGAGCUCAAAUUUGAAAUCUGGCCCUCUCAGGGUCCGAGUUGUAAUUUGUAGAGGGCGCUUUGGCGUCGGCCCCGGCCUAAGUUCCUUGGAACAGGACGUCACAGAGGGUGAGAACCCCGUACGUGGCCGCCGGUCUUCGCCGUGUAAAGCCCCUUCGACGAGUCGAGUUGUUUGGGAAUGCAGCUCUAAAUGGGAGGUAAAUUUCUUCUAAAGCUAAAUACUGGCCAGAGACCGAUAGCGCACAAGUAGAGUGAUCGAAAGAUGAAAAGCACUUUGGAAAGAGAGUCAAAAAGCACGUGAAAUUGUUGAAAGGGAAGCGCUUGCAGCCAGACUUGCCUGUAGUUGCUCAUCCGAGCUCCCGCUCGGUGCACUCUUCUGCGGGCAGGCCAGCAUCAGUCCGGGCGGUCGGAUAAAGGCCUCGGGAAUGUAGCUCCCCUCGGGGAGUGUUAUAGCCCGGGGUGCCAUGCGACCAGCCUGGACUGAGGUCCGCGCAUCUGCUAGGAUGCUGGCGUAAUGGCUGUAAGCGGCCCGUCUUGAAACACGGACCAAGGAGUCUAACAUCUAUGCGAGUGUUUGGGUGUCAAGCCCGGGCGCGCAAUGAAAGUGAACGGAGGUGGGAACCCCUCGGGGCGCACCAUCGACCGAUCCUGAUGUCUUCGGAUGGAUUUGAGUAAGAGCAUAGCUGUUGGGACCCGAAAGAUGGUGAACUAUGCCUGAAUAGGGUGAAGCCAGAGGAAACUCUGGUGGAGGCUCGCAGCGGUUCUGACGUGCAAAUCGAUCGUCAAAUUUGGGCAUAGGGGCGAAAGACUAUUCGAACUAUCUAGUAGCUGGGUCCUGC
rnacentral:rRNA from 1 species